UACGAAGGGGGCUAGCGUUGUUCGGAAUCACUGGGCGUAAAGCGCACGUAGGCGGCUUCUUAAGUCAGGGGUGAAAUCCUGGAGCUCAACUCCAGAACUGCCUUUGAUACUGGCGAUCUCGAGUCCGGGAGAGGUGAGUGGAACUGCGAGUGUAGAGGUGAAAUUCGUAGAUAUUCGCAAGAACACCAGUGGCGAAGGCGGCUCACUGGCCCGGUACUGACGCUGAGGUGCGAAAGCGUGGGGAGCAAACAGG
rnacentral:rRNA from 1 species